GGCCUGGUGGUGGAAUUGGUAUACACGCAGCACUUAAAAUGCUGUCCGCGUAAGCGGAUGUGGGUUCAAGUCCCGCCCUGGCCA
rnacentral:tRNA from 1 species